AUUGAACGCUGGCGGCAGGCCUAACACAUGCAAGUCGAGCGGUAACAGGGGAAGCUUGCUUCUCGCUGACGAGCGGCGGACGGGUGAGUAAUGUAUGGGGAUCUGCCCGAUAGAGGGGGAUAACCACUGGAAACGGUGGCUAAUACCGCAUAAUCUCUUAGGAGCAAAGCAGGGGAACUUCGGUCCUUGCGCUAUCGGAUGAACCCAUAUGGGAUUAGCUAGUAGGUGGGGUAAUGGCUCACCUA
rnacentral:rRNA from 1 species